rnacentral:lncRNA from 1 species
GCCACCAGCUCAUAUUCCACCAGCUUCUCUGGAUCCGAUACCAUCAAAAGUCACACCUUCAGCUCCAUCUCUGGCUGAUGUUGCACCCCCUCUAUCUAGAUACCAGUAGCUUCUUCAAAGUUAUGGUAUCGUGACUCCACCACCUUCCUCUCAAUCACCAUCAGCCCAUGUUUCAUCAGCUUCUCUAGAUCCAACAUUUGCAGAAGUCACACCUCCUGCUCCACCACC